rnacentral:rRNA from 1 species
GACGAACGCUGGCGGCGUGCUUAACACAUGCAAGUCGAACGGAAAGGCCCUGCUUGCAGGGUACUCGAGUGGCGAACGGGUGAGUAACACGUGGGUGAUCUGCCCUGCACUUCGGGAUAAGCUUGGGAAACUGGGUCUAAUACCGGAUAGGAGCCAUCUUUAGUGUGGUGGUUGGAAAGUUUUUUCGGUGUAGGAUGAGCUCGCGGCCUAUCAGCUUGUUGGUGGGGAAAUGGCCUACCAAGGCGGCGACGGGUAGCCGGCCUGAGAGGGUGUACGGCCACAUUUGGACUGAGAUACGGCCCAGACUCCUACGGGAGGCAGCAGUGGGGAAUAUUGCACAAUGGGCGCAAGCCUGAUGCAGCGACGCCGCGUGGGGGAUGAAGGCCUUCGGGUUGUAAACUCCUUUCGCUAGGGACGAAGCUUUUUGUGACGGUACCUAGAUAAGAAGCACCGGCUAACUACGUG